rnacentral:snRNA from 1 species
AUUAAUUGAGAAAAAUAAAGAGUGGUUAAUCUGUUCUUAUCAGCUUAAUAUCUGAUACAAUCCUCAAGGAGGAUUCAGAAUAUUAAACUUGUUUUUGGAACUGGGCGGGUGCUCGGAGCUUGCUCCGACUCUGUCGCGGGUCGAUUCGGCAUUGCAGUACCGUCGAAUUCGGUCCAGUAAGC